rnacentral:misc_RNA from 1 species
UUUACUCACUGCUGGGUGUCGAGUCUGGUCGAGUCGUAGAUGUCAAGUUGCGCGACAGGCGAUGCGUUGCGUGGUCGAUGUAGUCGAUCACACAAAGCUCUGUGCCUUCUGUAGAUGUUUACGCAUCUUAUAAAAAAAUCGUACUCCGUUUUGUUUUCGUUUUAACUUGUAAAACGGAAUUUUUUUUGUACCUCAGUGCAUUAAACACAUGGGAAUUUCCUGACAACUCGUAAACAUGGAUGACAUGCAAGGAAGGAGGUUAAGUGAUUCAAUGUCAUCUCUAUCGGGUGAAGGAAGUCCAAGUUUUGAGCAACCAAGUUUCAACACAUCCGAACGUGAAGGUUUGAAUAAUGGAAGAAAGAAGCGUCGGCUGGAUGAUUCCGGAUUGGAAUGGGACACGCUUGAGAAGCCAGCCAAGAAGAUGGCUCUGGAGGCUGAAUUUGAUAUGGCAGACAAAGCUAAGCGGAUGAUGGAAAAAAUGGGUUACAAGAAGGGUGCUGGUUUGGGAAAACACGGUCAAGGACGUUUGGAGCCGGUUGAAGCUUCCCAGCAGAAAGGACGCAGAGGUUUGGGUCACUAUAAUGAAAAGUUAAAAGAGGCCAAUCUUCGGUGGGAUCCCAGCAAGGAGGAAAUACUUAUAGAGGAAGAAAUCAAUUGGUUAAUGAACACCAAAGAGCCACCGUGCAUCAAAGAUCUAAACGAUUGGAUAAAAAUUGGACCAACAAAGAGAACGAUAGAGGACGAGACUUUGUACUGCGAUGCAGCAGUUGUAUCAGGAGUGGUAGGCUCGAAAUCAGUGUUCGACAAUUUGGACAAAAACGAAAUGAGACGAGCGCGAACGAGAUCGAACCCUUUUGAAACGAUUCGUGGUUCAAUAUUCCUCAACAGAGCUGCUGUGAAGAUGGCGAAUAUGGACAGAGCCUGCAAUUUCUUGUUCACCGCCCCAACGACAUUGAAAUCCAACGAGCUCUUGUAUUUUGCUGAUGUUUGCGCUGGUCCCGGUGGUUUCAGCGAGUAUGUGCUAUGGCGGAAGAAGUGGCAUGCCAAAGGUUUUGGCUUCACAUUACGAGAGUCGAAUGAUUUCAAGCUGGAAGAUUUCUAUGCGGGUUCACCGGACACUUUUCAUCCGUUUUAUGGUCCCAAAGGUGACGGAGAUGUUUACAAUCCGGAAAAUCAAGAGGCAUUCAGACAAUUGAUCAUGCGACAAACGCAUGGAAAUGGUGUCCAUUUCAUGAUGUCCGAUGGUGGUUUUUCGGUUGAGGGAGAAGAGAGCGUGCAGGAAAUACUAUCGAAACAGCUGUACCUUUGUCAGUGCCUUGUUGCGUUAAUGAUUGUUCGUGAAAAAGGACAUUUCGUAACAAAAUUAUUUGACAUCUUCACUCCCUUUUCCGCGGGUCUCGUUUACAUAAUGUCUCGAUGUUUCGAAAGCAUUUCCAUAUUCAAACCGAACACAUCGAGACCAGCUAAUUCCGAGCGUUAUCUCAUUUGCAACGGGAAACAAUCGAACGUGACGGACGUGAUUGAAUAUCUUUCACGCGUUAAUCGUAUCUUGUUGAACCAGGACAAGAGUCGAGACGUUAUGCAACUCGUGCCCCAUGAAAUCCUGGAGGAAGACGAAGAAUUUUUCAAAUACUUGAAAAAUUCAAACGAAGUUCUCGGCCGACGACAAAUCGUCGGACUCCUCAAAAUCGCUGCUUUUUGCGAAGACACUACUCUCAUGGAGAAUCGACAAGCUGAGAUGAGAAAAAAGUGCCUCGAAUAUUGGGGAUUGCCUGACACGAGUCGUACUAUUCCUCGGAUAAGCGCACCCGGAGAACGCUUGAAAGUUAUCACGCAAAAUUCAACCAUGAGUUUUAUGACGACUAAACCCAAGAUACUCGAGACUUCGAAUCUUAACAAAUUAUUGAAUGUACAUUACGAUUGGUUCUGUAUGCUCUGCGAUUCUUCCGGUCAAAUCAACGACAAAUCCGCUACUUUCUAUAUUGGAAUGGGCAAAUCGAAUUCUUAUCGUUACGACAACGGUACUUGGAUCAGAGUUCCAAAUCUUCAUUUAUCCCCCGACACCCUCGUUUUUGCUGAGCUUGUCACAGAAUUACGAGGCGAAUACACCCAGCAGAGGAGAACGAGUGCUCUUCACAUUCUCGACUCUUAUUUUCUGGGAGGCGAGGACGUUAGUCAAAAGUACAUCGAAGAGAGGUACAGAUUGACAAAGUUGUACACCGAGGCUCUCUGGAAACCGAUGAACGGUGAAUGGAUUCGCGUAAGAGCGAAAGAAUUGCAUCCACUGACGGAGAAUCUCGAGGAAAGGUUUAAUCUUCAGCUUCGUACGUUGAAAAAAGGUGGUCAAGUGUUAACGCACGUACCAUCGCGAGAUGACACCCAUUACGAAGACACCGACGACCCUUAUUUCAUAGUGCCGAAAAGCGUUGUAUUUUUUAAGAGCACUGCACAUUAUUGGUCUCGACAUGUCAGUCAAUCUUCUGGUUACCCUUAUUAUUACAAUUGGAAGGACAAGAGGACGCUCUACGACAAGGACAAGCCAGCAUGCGCGGAUGCUUCUUUCGCGGAAUCGUUUGAAAACCGUAUUGUUUGGUGUUGGCCGCCAGAUCCGGCCUUGACGAGAGAAAGUUUAUUUGAGAUGAUCCGUAACAAGUGCGUGCGACCUGUGAAUAGAUAAUUUUAUAUUUAGAAUGUUGCUAUAAAUUAUAAGAGGCUUUUCUAUAUUUUUCGAAUCAUUUCCAAGUGAUCGCUAAAUGUGUACAUUACGUACACAUUUAUGUGAU